UUGAUACCUCUUGUUCCCUUCACCCACAAAAUUUUAUACAACUUUCACAACCAUAACAUGCACCAAUUGAUGCUUCAUCAUUCACAUUUGGAAUCCCAUGCCUUGUGUACCACAUGUUGCUGCACCUUUGACCCAUUUAUUGGCACAUUUUCACCUUCCUUUCCAUCUCUAUGUAAUGUACACAAUCAUUCAUGCCCCCUAGCUACAAGACCACUCCAUUUUACCCUUCACACUUUGCAUCAUCACUUCAUUUUCACCCUUGGACCAUUGCACACCACAUACACUCUUUGCCGUGCAUUCUCCCUAGCCUAACUUGAUUCUCUAAGGUUUUUGGGGCCUAUAUAUACAUGUUUACACCCUUUGGCAAAGGGUUGACACUCUCAUAUUCACCAUUCAUCACAGAAAUUCGUCCAUGCUCACCCUAGGUAGCAAAACACCCCAAAAACACCAUUCUAGUGCCUAGAAAACAUAACAGCCACUCCACCUUCUUCCACCCUCUUUGCCUAGUUCUCCACCACCCUCCAACCCUCAAACACUCCUCCACACUUACCCUAAACCUUUCCAUACCAUUCCCCAUCCAUUCUACAUCAUAAAACUACCCAAAAAUCCGUCCACAAAGCAAUCUGCCGCAAGCAAGCAAAGGAGAAUUCUUGGAUGCACUUGCUACCCAAGUUGGAGCAUUUUAGGUCUUUUCUUUCCUUUGAUUUUAAUGUCUAAUUUUAUGUAUCUUUGCUUUGUGAGUAUGAGGAACUAAACCCCUCUUAGUUAGGGGGUGAUUCGAAACCAUGUUCAUACUUGAAAUAUGAUUUGAUUACAUCCAGUUGUGAUUCAUAAGUUGUGAAUUCAAUUUACUUAUCCGAUCGUAUAAAAAAUGAUUUGGGUAUGUUGGUUGAGAGUGCACGCUUAAUUUUCAUGCAUGAAUUUAACGCUAGAAUAUAAGGGAGUUUCACCUA
rnacentral:lncRNA from 1 species